rnacentral:rRNA from 1 species
CAUGUAGGGCGCGAGCGUUGUCCGGAAUUAUUGGGCGUAAAGAGCUCGUAGGCGGCCUGUUGCGUCCGCUGUGAAAGCCCGGGGCUUAACCCCGGGUCGGCAGUGGAUACGGGCAGGCUAGAGGUAGGUAGGGGAGACUGGAAUUCCUGGUGUAGCGGUGAAAUGCGCAGAUAUCAGGAGGAACACCGGUGGCGAAGGCGGGUCUCUGGGCCGUAACUGACGCUGAGGAGCGAAAGCAUGGGGAGCGAACAGG